rnacentral:rRNA from 1 species
CCAAUAGCAUAUCUUAAAGUUGUUGACGUUAAAAAGCUCGUAGUUGGAUUUUUACAGAUCGUUUAAAGUCUCACGUACUUUAGUACGAGGAUGACUAUUAAACCUCUGUUUUUUGUUGUGACCCUACCUAUCCUUAAUUGGAUUGGGUGGUGUAUAUCGACACAUUUACUUUGAGGAAAAUAGUGCGCUCAAAGCAGGCGUUUCGCCUUGAAUAUGUUAGCAUGGGAUAAUACUAAAGACUACGCAUUUACGUUGAUGGUUAUGAAUGCGAAGUAAUGAGCGAUGGGAACGGAUUGGGGGUCUCGGUAUUCUGCAGGAAGAGGUGAAAUUCUUGGAUCUGUGGAAGACCACCUGAUGCGAAAGCGUUGAUCACAGACGUCUCCGUCAA